UAAAACAUAGUGUUAAUGCACCAGAGCUCAUUAGAACUCCACAGUUAAAAAUGCUCAGGCUAGAGUAAUACUGGGGUGGGUGACCUCUUGGGAAGUCCUAGUGUUUUAC
rnacentral:rRNA from 1 species